AGGACGAACGCUGGCGGCACGCCUAACACAUGCAAGUCGAACGGAGAAUGCUUAGCUUGCUUGCAUUCUUAGUGGCGGACGGGUGAGUAACACGUGAGCAACCUGCCUUUUUGGCGAGGGAUAGCUUCUGGAAACGGAUGGUAAUACCUCAUAAUAUAGCUGAAUCGCAUGAUUUAGUUAGUCAAAGAAUUUCGCCAAAAGAUGGGCUCGCGUCUGAUUAGAUAGUUGGUGAGGUAACGGCUCACCAAGUCGACGAUCAGUAGCCGGACUGAGAGGUUGAACGGCCACAUUGGGACUGAGACACGGCCCAGACUCCUACGGGAGGCAGCAGUGAGGGAUAUUGCACAAUGGGGGAAACCCUGAAUGCAGCGAUGCCGCGUGGAGGAAGAAGGUUUUCGGAUUGUAAACUCCUGUUUCGAGGGACGAUAAUGACGGUACCUCGGGAGGAAGCUCCGGCUAACUACGUGCCAGCAGCCGC
rnacentral:rRNA from 1 species